rnacentral:rRNA from 1 species
CCCUUCGAUGUUCGGAGCUGCACGCGCGCUACACUGUGGGUGGCAGCAUGUUAGCUUGCCUCGCUCGCAAGAGUGGGGUAAUCGUUUGAAAAUCCCACAUGAUUGGGAUAGGGACUUGUAAUUAUUUCCCUUGAACGAGGAAUCCCUAGUAAGUGCAGGUCAUCAGCUUGCGCUGAUUACGUCCCUGCCCUUUGUACACACCGCCCGUCGCUCCUACCGAUUGAAUGGUCCGGUGAAGCGUUCGGACCGUGGCCUUUGGACGGUUCGCCGUCUGUUGGCUGCGGGAAGUUCGUUAAACCUUAUCAUUUAGAGGAAGGAGAAGUCGUAACA